GACGAACGCUGGCGGCGUGCCUAAUACAUGCAAGUAGAACGCUGAAGAGAGGAGCUUGCUCUUCUUGGAUGAGUUGCGAACGGGUGAGUAACGCGUAGGUAACCUGCCUGGUAGCGGGGGAUAACUAUUGGAAACGAUAGCUAAUACCGCAUAAUAGUAGAUGUUGCAUGACAUUUGCUUAAAAGGUGCAAUUGCAUCACUACCAGAUGGACCUGCGUUGUAUUAGCUAGUUGGUGAGGUAACGGCUCACCAAGGCAACGAUACAUAGCCGACCUGAGAGGGUGAUCGGCCACACUGGGACUGAGACACGGCCCAGACUCCUACGGGAGGCAGCAGUAGGGAAUCUUCGGCAAUGGACGGAAGUCUGACCGAGCAACGCCGCGUGAGUAAGAAGGUUU
rnacentral:rRNA from 1 species